ensembl:lncRNA
GGGAGAGCAAGUUAGAGAAAAACCUGGGUGAGAGGGUCAGAGAGACGGAGAAAGAGAGGGAGGUAGAGAUGGAGAUGGACGGAAUAGAAGGGGGAUUGAGAGAGAGAGGGAGGUAGAGAUGGAGAUGGACGGAAUAGAAGGGGGAUGGAGGUAGAGAGGGAGGUAGAGAUGGACGGAAUAGAAGGGGGAUGGAGAGAGAGGGGGAGAGCAAGGUAGAGGAAGAGAGGAUGAGGAAGGGAAAAAUAGGGAGCGGAGGGAGUGAAAAAGAGGGGGAGAUGGAGAGAGAGAGGGGUGGAAAGAGAGAGGUGAAGAGACAGUAGAGAGAGGAAGAGAGAGUAGAGAGAGGUGAAGAGAAAGAGAGAGUAGAGAGAGGUGAAGAGAAAGAGAGAGUAGAGAGAGGUGAAGAGAGAGAGAGUAGAGAGAGGUGAAGAGAGAGAGAGAGUAGAGAGGAAGAGAAAGACAGAGAGAGGAAGAGAAAGAGAGAGUAGAGUGAGAGGUGAAGAGAGGUGAAGAGAGAGAGUAGAAUAGAGCGAGACGGGUCAUGAGCUGAAUUUUUCAGCAUGUUUAUGAAAAUGUAUAUUUGGAUAAAUUUAGAUUUUUUUUGACAAGAACAUAUACACUCC